UACGAGGGGGGCAAGCGUUGUUCGGAAUUAUUGGGCGUAAAGGGUGUGUAGGCGGUUUGGUAAGUCGUGUGUGAAAUCUUCAGGCUCAACCUGAAGUCUGCACACGAAACUGCCGGGCUUGAGUAUGGGAGAGGUGAGUGGAAUUCCUGGUGUAGCGGUGAAAUGCGUAGAUAUCAGGAGGAACACCUGUGGCGAAAGCGGCUCACUGGACCAUUACUGACGCUGAAACACGAAAGCUAGGGGAGCAAACAGG
rnacentral:rRNA from 1 species